UACGAAGGGAGCAAGCGUUGUCCGGAUUUAUUGGGCGUAAAGAGCGUGUAGGCGGCCAGACAGGUCCGUUGUGAAAACUGGAGGCUUAACCUCCAGACGUCGAUGGAAACCGUCUGGCUAGAGUCCGGAAGAGGAGAGUGGAAUUCCUGGUGUAGCGGUGAAAUGCGCAGAUAUCGGGAAGAACACCCGUGGCUAAGGCGGCUCUCUAGUACGGUACUGACGCUGAGACGCGAAAGCGUGGGGAGCGAACAGG
rnacentral:rRNA from 1 species